CGUUACUGACGCUUAAGCUCGAAAGCGCGGGUAUCGAACAGGAUUAGAUACCCUGGUAGUCCGCGCGGUAAACGAUGGAUGCCCGCUGUUUGCGUCUAACGUAAGCGGCCAAGUGAAAACGUUAAGCAUCCCACCUGGGGAGUACGCCGGCAACGGUGAAACUCAAAGGAAUUGACGGGGGCCCGCACAAGCGGAGGAACAUGUGGUUUAAUUCGAUGAUACGCGAGGAACCUUACCCGGGCUUGAAUUGCUGAGGAAAGAUCCAGAGAUGGUGAUGCCCUUCGGGGCCUCAGUGAAGGUGCUGCAUGGUUGUCGUCAGCUCGUGCCGUGAGGUGUCGGCUUAAGUGCCAUAACGAGCGCAACCCUUUUCAUUAGUUGCCAUCAGGUAAUGCUGGGCACUCUGGUGAUACUGCCACCGUAAGGUGUGAGGAAGGUGGGGAUGACGUCAAAUCAGCACGGCCCUUACGUCCGGGGCUACACACGUGUUACAAUGGGUGGUACAGAGAGUCGGAUCAACGCAAGUUGGUUCUAAUCCUUAAAGCCAUCCUCAGUUCGGAUUGGGGUCUGCAACCCGACCCCAUGAAGCUGGAUUCGCUAGUA
rnacentral:rRNA from 1 species